GGAGAGAUGUCCGAGAGGUCGAAGGAGCACGAUUGGAAAUCGUGUGUACUGCAAGGUACCGAGGGUUCGAAUCCCUCUCUCUCCGCCA
rnacentral:tRNA from 1 species